UACGAAGGGGGCUAGCGUUGUUCGGAUUUACUGGGCGUAAAGCGCACGUAGGCGGAUCGUUAAGUCGGGGGUGAAAUCCCGAGGCUCAACCUCGGAACUGCCUUCGAUACUGGAAGUCUUGAGUCCGGGAGAGGUGAGUGGAACUCCGAGUGUAGAGGUGAAAUUCGUAGAUAUUCGGAAGAACACCAGUGGCGAAGGCGGCUCACUGGCCCGGUACUGACGCUGAGAUACGAAAGCGUGGGGAGCAAACAGG
rnacentral:rRNA from 1 species